UCCGACCUCAGAUCGGACGAGAUUACCCGCUGAAUUUAAGCAUAUAACUAAGCGGAGGAAAAGAAACUAACAAGGAUUCCCCCAGUAACGGCGAGUGAAGCGGGAAUAGCCCAGCACCGAAUCCCUCAGUGUCAUGCUGACGGGAACUGUGGUGUGUGGGACGCCACCAGUCGCAUCAGAGGGCGCCGAAGUCCUCCUGAUCGGGGCUUCACCCAGAGCGGGUGUAAGGCCUUUGCGGGUGCCUCUCUGUGCGGCCGCGAGCGUCUCAGGAGUCGGGUUGUUUGGGAAUGCAGCCCAAAGCGGGUGGUAAACUCCAUCUAAGUCUA
rnacentral:rRNA from 1 species